UAUCAUUUCAUUUAUAUUACAGAGAGCUUAUCAGGUGGGGAAGCCCCAGGCCAUUUUACCACAAUAAGAACCUCUUCUUCUAAAAUAGAAAAGCAGAACAAGCACAUACAGUCAUGUUUUUACCCAGUAGUAAAAGUGAUCACACGCACCACACCUGAAGAAGAGCAGGAACCUGGGCAGAG